rnacentral:rRNA from 1 species
CCUACGGGAGGCUGCAGUGCGGAAUAUUGGUCAAUGGGCGCGAGCCUGAACCCGCCAAGUCGCGUGAGGGAGGACGGCCCUACGGGUUGUCAACCUCUUUUGCCGGGGAGCAACGGGCGCCACGUGUGGCGUCACUGAGAGUACCCGGAGAAAAAGCAUCGGCUAACUCCGUGCCAGCAGCCGCGGUCAUACGGAGGAUGCGAGCGUUCUCCGGAUUUAUUGGGGUUAAGGGGUGCGUAGGCGGAACGUUAAGUCAGGGGUAAAAUUGAGGGGCUCAACCCCUUCCCGCCAUUGAAACUGGCGUUCUUGAGUGGGAGAGAAGUAUGCGGAAUGCGGGGUGUAGCGGUGAAAUGCAUAGAUAUCACGCAGAACCCCGAUUGCGAAGGCAGCAUGCCGGCUUCCGACUGACGCUGAAGCACGAAAGCGUGGGGAUCGAACAGGAUUAGAUACCCUUGUAGUC